rnacentral:rRNA from 1 species
AACGCUAGCUACAGGCUUAACACAUGCAAGUCGCGGGGCAGCAUUUUCCUAGCUUGCUAGGGAAGAUGGCGACCGGCGCACGGGUGAGUAACGCGUAUCCAACCUUCCCAUGUCCACGGGAUAGCCCGUCGAAAGGCGGAUUAAUACCGUAUGAGGUCACAUGCGGGCAUCUAAGCGUGACGAAAGGUUUGGCGGACAUGGAUGGGGAUGCGUCCGAUUAGCUAGUUGGCGGGGUAACGGCCCACCAAGGCGACGAUCGGUAGGGGUUCUGAGAGGAAGGUCCCCCACAUUGGAACUGAGACACGGUCCAAACUCCUACGGGAGGCAGCAGUGAGGAAUCUUGGUCAAUGGGCGCAAGGCCUGAACCAGCCACGUAGCGUGAAGGAAGACUGCCCUUAGGGUUGUAAACUUCUUUUAUAAGGGAAUAACGUCAGUAACGAGUUACUGAUUGCAUGUACCUUAUGAAUAAGGAUCGGCUAACUCCGUGCCAGCAGCCGCGGUAAUACGGAGGAUCCUAGCGUUAUUCGGAUUUAUUGGGUUUAAAGGGAGCGUAGGCGGGGGGUCAAGUCAGCUGUGAAAUACGUACGCUUAACGUUCGUCUUGCAGUUGAAACUGGUUUUCUUGAGUGCGUAUGAGGCAGGCGGAAUUCGUGGUGUAGCGGUGAAAUGCUUAGAUAUCACGAAGAACUCCGAUUG